rnacentral:rRNA from 1 species
UGGAAGUAAAAGUCGUAACAAGGUCUCCGUUGGUGAACCAGCGGAGGGAUCAUUACCGAGUUUACAACUCCCAAACCCAAUGUGAACGUUACCAAACUGUUGCCUCGGCGGGAUCUCUGCCCCGGGUGCGUCGCAGCCCCGGACCAAGGCGCCCGCCGGAGGACCAACCAAAACUCUUAUUGUAUACCCCCUCGCGGGUUUUUUUAUAAUCUGAGCCUUCUCGGCGCCUCUCGUAGGCGUUUCGAAAAUGAAUCAAAACUUUCAACAACGGAUCUCUUGGUUCUGGCAUCGAUGAAGAACGCAGCGAAAUGCGAUAAGUAAUGUGAAUUGCAGAAUUCAGUGAAUCAUCGAAUCUUUGAACGCACAUUGCGCCCGCCAGUAUUCUGGCGGGCAUGCCUGUCCGAGCGUCAUUUCAACCCUCGAACCCCUCCGGGGGGUCGGCGUUGGGGAUCGGCCCUCCCUUAGCGGGUGGCCGUCUCCGAAAUACAGUGGCGGUCUCGCCGCAGCCUCUCCUGCGCAGUAGUUUGCACACUCGCAUCGGGAGCGCGGCGCGUCCACAGCCGUUAAACACCCAACUUCUGAAAUGUUGACCUCGGAUCAGGUAGGAAUACCCGCUGAACUUAAGCAUAUCAAUAAGCGGAGGAA